GUAUUUACAUUUGUGAUUCAACAGAAGUUUAAUGGAAAAGCUAUGCAGUAGGAGAAUUUAAGCUGAUAGCCCAUGAGAGAUACAGAAACGGAGUUGUUUGACUACAUUGGUGAUGUUGCAACAUGUUGUGGCUGUAGAAUUUUUAUAUAGAUAAUUACCACAGUUUGGUUCUAGGAUGCCUACUGGUGGUUGUUAUCUGAUUUGUCCAAUGGAUGUGGUGUUUCAAUCCAAUGAGUCUUGUUUGUUGUCAAAGAUAUUACUGUUGGUUUAAAGGUGUAAUAUGUGAGGGAACCAGCAACAAAGGCGUUUCUGGAAGAACCCAUUGUGGAAAGCCAUCUUACUACCUUACUAUUUAACCAUUUCUUGUGUUGCUGAUGUAACAACCCUGAUAAAGAUUGAACUUCAAAGUGGCAGACUGUUGGCGAUGUUGCAGAAAUCUAAGAGGU